rnacentral:rRNA from 1 species
AAUACGUAGGGGGCAAGCGUUGUCCGGAAUUAUUGGGCGUAAAGCGCGCGCAGGCGGCUGUUUAAGUCUGGUGUUUAAACCAUGGGCUCAACCUGUGGUCGCACUGGAAACUGGACAGCUUGAGUGCAGAAGAGGAAAGUGGAAUUCCACGUGUAGCGGUGAAAUGCGUAGAGAUGUGGAGGAACACCAGUGGCGAAGGCGACUUUCUGGGCUGUAACUGACGCUGAGGCGCGAAAGCGUGGGGAGCAAACAG